GCCUAGAUAGCUCAGCUGGUUAGAGCACGGUGGUGAUAAUGCCAAGGUUGCAGGUUCGAACCCCAUAUGGGACA